UCGGCACUCGGCGGUCGGCCGCGCUCGGGCGCCAGCGCGCGCUGUAUCGGCGCUGCCCCGCCCCGCGCGCUCGACGUUUUCACGUAACGGUCCUCAAUCGAGCGCGAUAUUGCCAGUGCGAUAGUUGCAACGCUCUGUCGUCAUUGGGAUUAGUCGGUGAUCAAACAAAGUCCUUAUGAAAAUCAUGAUGUUAUGACUAUUUUUAUUUUCAGGAGUUUUGAUAAAUAAAUAAGGUUGAUAUCAAGAGCAGACAUAAGUAUUUCGCAGGUAGACGGUUUAUCGAGAAGUUUUUGCGCAGUGGCUCGUCGACGCGACGGUCGGAGAGCGUCUGCGUUGAGGCAUAAUAAUUAGCGACGAUAAACAAUGGGCAUGUCGUCCUCUGGUCGAUACUGAGUCGCUACCUGCGCGGUUGACGAUAGAGGACACAUGGCUCGUCCUGUAAUGUCCUUGUCGCGCAUUGAUGCGCUCCGCCCGUUUCGCACUCGACAUUAGCAGUUCAUUGCAAUUGUUUAUUUAAUAUGUGAUAUUAUGAUGUUUUCUCUGUAAUUAUUACAAUCGAAUAAUCUUAAUUGUUAUUACCAUGUUAAGUACCUAUUAGUGGGAUAUAACUUAUAGGUCUUGCUUAGGUAAACAAUUUAAGAAUUUGGUUAAAACUAAAUGUCAAACAAACUCAUGUUUUAUCAUAAAACUAAUUAAAAUAUGUGUCAUGUCAGUAGUGAAUAAGUAACACUAAAAUAUUUUAGAAAUAAAUCAUACAAUGCAACAAGAGUACAUACAAGAACAAGUAUAUCUACUACUAUUUUAUGAUAUCUAUUAACUAGCAAAUGUCUGUAUUAAAAAAUAAAAAAUGUGGUUUUUACUUCCUCGUAGCACCAACGCGCUAUCAUGCUACAAGAUUUUGCUACGAGCUACGAGCGAAAUCGCGCGAUAUUUUUAAACUACGCAUGAACAGGCUAGAGAUUUUACCUUUCUUUAAAAAAAUGUACUUACGUGCUUAAUGCUAUUAACGCUGUUUUUUAUAUUGCUUACAAGCAAUAAGAAAUUAGUGACAGAUUGAUUUAGUUGUUAUAAUUUUUUAAUUGUAUAGUACAUUGUUCUAAAUGUAUAUACAUAUUUGCUUAUAUGAGGAAUAUCAAGGAAAAGUGCCAGCAGGCUAUGCUAUAAAAAAUUAUAUUGUUUGCUCAAACUAAAAAAAAUGUCGGAUCAUCAAAUUUUUAGAAUGAAUUCGUACAUCCAAGCAGUAAAAAAGAGAAAUUCAUCAAAAUGUUAUAUUUAAUGUGAUAAUUAUUGAAGCAUAGACGGUAGUAAAUGGCGGUAGUGAGAGUAAUAUAGAGUUUUGGUCGGACACGCGCUCGCUGGAAAGUCGGGAAAGCGGCGCGGGUGCCAGCGAAACGCCGUCCGCGUUCCGUUGCGCUUGCGACUGCCUACAAUCACAACUAAGUGCAACUGCGAGGACUUCCAUCUAAUGUUAUUGACAGAUACAAUGAUUUCCUAUUAAUAGCAAUAGAUUAAAACAUGCCAUAUUUAACAGUCUUCCAAUGAAAAAAUUAAAAUAUAUGCUAAAAAACAAGAAAUGAAUAAAUUAAAAUUAAUAUAAAAAGUAAGAAACUUAGAGUAAUUUUGUAUGAGAGAAAAAUCCUUCCUUAUUUGCUAUUGAUUAUGGAUUGUAGUUAAAACAUACAAACAACGCGCUGUUCAUCAAUCGCACUGAAACAUAAACACCUAUGUUGUUUUGUCAGAAUCCCGUCUUCAAGCUAGCUUAACAAUGUAAUUUUACAGUACGCAACUAUGCGAAUUGUCGUUUUAACUGGUCGUUGUUGACACACAUUUGUUAUUUUAGACAAUAACGUGUCAGUAUCAGUUUUUCAUACGUUAAUCAACGCGGUGAGAUGACAUUAAACUUGAGUCACGUGCAUUCUACACGCUCCGUUUCUAGCCGGUUGCUGUUUAACAAUAGCUCAUCAUCAAAGCGUUGAAAACGGAGAAUUAAAAAGUAAGUUUUUCCUCGUACGUUGACAACAGUUAUAAAUCACUGUUGCUGUGUUUAUUUUACGAUCCGGCUAUUAUCGUCAACUCCGUGGUUUUGCAAUACGGCCGCCUGCGCUGCGCCCGCGCUUCGAGCUUGAAGCGCAGGAGUCAUAAAAAGCAGAUAUACCUACUCAAACAUGUAUCAGUUAUUUCGGUAACGCCUUGUGUUUCCACUCUGUCCAUAGUAUGGGCAGGACGUGGCCAUAUUACUAUUCCUUAGUGAAAUACGUUUUAGAUGUUACAUUAUCUUACGGAAUCCCCUUAUCUAUUCGUGAUAUUCAUCAUGAUAUUGCAGUUUUCUUGUUCAAUAUGUAACGUAAAAUUUAUACAAAUCUGUUUUAUUUCAUACACUCUCGAAAGACUAGAAAUGAAAUAGGUUUUUAUUAAUAUUAAAAGUUAUAUAGACAGUCUUUCUCUUUAUGGUGAUUUUAUGGAGUAAAGUUUAUUGGACAUAACAUACGAUUAACUUUUAAAUAACCUAUAAAUAGCAUUACACGAUUAAGCCAAUUGAACUGUUAGAACGGUCAUAAGUGGCACAUAAUGCAGUGUAGCAAGUGCAUGUCGGUUACAUGCACCUCCCUUACCAACAAACCUGUUUCGCGCUUCGCUCGGAAAAUGUGUCGCCAACACCAAUCGCGCGUGCCGACCUGCCGUUUCCUUCACUGUUGGGCGAGUGAUGAUUUCCAUUCUUUGCGCUGAAUGGAUGUCGCGUCGUCGUCGCCAACGAGAAAGCCAGACAUGAAAACAACAUUCUUCACACAAUAAACGCAUUUGUAUUAUGACAAGUUGUGUGUUGGACUUCUUUCUUAAAUCACGUUUAUUAUCUCGACAUGUAUCGAGUUAGUAAUACAUUAGGCCAGCGUUGAUUUACAAGACUUCGCUCCGUGGGCGAGACUAUUCAUAGUACUAAUAUACUAAAUAUAGUACCGAUUCCCUAUUAUUUCUCGCGACUGAGUCAGUCCGUGAGUGGUUCCGUAGUUAUAAGUAGAAUCCAUGUUUUGUACUGGGUACGGAAGCAUGUUUUAAGAAAUAAGGUCCUAUUUGUUUUUAGUAUGCAAUUUUUGUUAUGAUUUUGGAUUAAAAGAUUUUAUAAAAAUAAACUAGUUUCAUAUCAAUCAUAAUCCUACAUUAUGGCGAUACUAAUAGCAUCUCAAGGACAGACAGCCGAUGGGCCGUAUGCAGGUACUUACGUCUGAGGAACAUCUGCCUCGUACGCGACGCGUGGCAACCAUAGCUGCCACCCGGCAGGGCCGAGCCAUGAGUGAUGGACACAGAAACCAUUCAUAUGUUACCAGACUUUGCCGGGCGUGAAUUCCUGUUUUAAUCAAGUUUGUUUUAUAUUAAUAGUUAGUAUUCUUUAAAGUUUAAAUGAGGACUAUUUAUUAGGUUCGAUGUUUUACUUUAUCAGAACUAUGUAGGUAGUGGUCGAUGAUAAUUUAUCUUGUCAUACUACCCUGUGAAGUUUUAGAUAUGUUAUU